AACGAACGCUGGCGGCAGGCUUAACACAUGCAAGUCGAGCGCCCCGCAAGGGGAGCGGCAGACGGGUGAGUAACGCGUGGGAACGUACCCUUUGCUACGGAAUAGCUCCGGGAAACUGGAGCUAAUACCGUAUGUGCCCUUCGGGGGAAAGAUUUAUCGCCUUUGGAUUGGCCCGCGUCUGAUUAGCUAGUUGGUGGGGUAACGGCCUACCAAGGCGACGAUCAGUAGCUGGUCUGAGAGGAUGAUCAGCCACACUGGGACUGAGACACGGCCCAGACUCCUACGGGAGGCAGCAGUGGGGAAUAUUGGACAAUGGGCGCAAGCCUGAUCCAGCCAUGCCGCGUGAGUGAUGAAGGCCUUAGGGUUGUAAAGCUCUUUCGCCAGGGACGAUAAUGACGGUACCUGGAUAAGAAGCCCCGGCUAACUUCGUGCCAGCAGCCGCGGUAAGAC
rnacentral:rRNA from 1 species